UAGGGAAUCUUCGGCAAUGGGGGGAACCCUGACCGAGCAACGCCGCGUGAGUGAAGAAGGUUUUCGGAUCGUAAAGCUCUGUUGUUAAGGAAGAACGAGUGUGAGAAUGGAAAGUUCAUACUGUGACGGUACUUAACCAGAAAUGGACGGCUAACUACGUGCCAGCAGCCGCGGUAAUACGUAGGUCCCGAGCGUUGUCCGGAUUUAUUGGGCGUAAAGCGAGCGCAGGCGGUUAGAUAAGUCUGAAGUUAAAGGCAGUGGCUCAACCAUUGUAGGCUUUGGAAACUGUUUAACUUGAGUGCAGAAGGGGAGAGUGGAAUUCCAUGUGUAGCGGUGAAAUGCGUAGAUAUAUGGAGGAACACCGGUGGCGAAAGCGGCUCUCUGGUCUGUAACUAACGCUGAGGCUCGAAAGCGUGGGGAGCGAACAGG
rnacentral:rRNA from 1 species